UACGGAGGGAGCCAGCGUUGUUCGGAAUCACUGGGCGUAAAGCGCACGUAGGCGGCUACUCAAGUCGGGGGUGAAAGCCCGGGGCUCAACCCCGGAACUGCCCUCGAAACUAGGUAGCUAGAAUCUUGGAGAGGCGAGUGGAAUUCCGAGUGUAGAGGUGAAAUUCGUAGAUAUUCGGAAGAACACCAGUGGCGAAGGCGACUCGCUGGACAAGUAUUGACGCUGAGGUGCGAAAGCGUGGGGAGCAAACAGG
rnacentral:rRNA from 1 species